rnacentral:rRNA from 1 species
UUUUUACAAUCAGUGAAACUGAUCUUCCCGUGAAGAAGCGGGAAUUAUUCUAUAAGACGAGAAGACCCCAUGAAGCUUCAAAUAAGUAUCAACUGUUAACCUUACACCACCAGAUACCCAAUAGCUAUGACUACUAAUUUUUGGUUGGGGCGACCGCGGAGCAAAACAAAACCUCCACAAUGAAAAGACCUAAUCCCAUUAUUCAAGAACAACUGUUCUAACAAUCAACACAUUGACAUAAUUGACCCAAACCCCCCCCCCUUGAUCAAUGAACCAAGUUACUCUGGGGAUAACAGCGCUAUCUAUUUCAAGAGUACAUAUCGACAAAUGGGUUUACGACCUCGAUGUUGGAUCGGGGUAUCCCAGUGGUGCAGCCGCUACUAAAGGUUCGUUUGUUCAACGAUUAAAACCCCACGUGAUC